rnacentral:rRNA from 1 species
AUUGAACGCUGGCGGCAGGCCUAACACAUGCAAGUCGAACGGUAACAGGAAACAGCUUGCUGUUUCGCUGACGAGUGGCGGACGGGUGAGUAAUGUCUGGGAAACUGCCUGAUGGAGGGGGAUAACUACUGGAAACGGUAGCUAAUACCGCAUAACGUCGCAAGACCAAAGAGGGGGACCCUCGGGCCUCUUGCCAUCGGAUGUGCCCAGAUGGGAUUAGCUUGUGGUGGGGUAACGGCUCACCAAGGCGACGAUCCCUAGCUGGUCUGAGAGGAUGACCAGCCACACUGGAACUGAGACACGGUCCAGACUCCUACGGGAGGCAGCAGUGGGGAAUAUUGCACAAUGGGCGCAAGCCUGAUGCAGCCAUGCCGCGUGUAUGAAGAAGGCCUCGG